rnacentral:rRNA from 1 species
CCUACGGCGCGCUGCAGUGGGGGAUAUUGCACAAUGGGGGAAACCCUGAUGCAGCGACGCCGCGUGGGCGAAGAAGUAUUUCGGUAUGUAAAGCCCUAUCAGCAGGGAAGAAGAAAUGACGGUACCUGAGUAAGAAGCACCGGCUAAAUACGUGCCAGCAGCCGCGGUAAUACGUAUGGUGCAAGCGUUAUCCGGAUUUACUGGGGGUAAAGGGAGCGCAGGCGGCACGGCAAGCCUGAUGUGAAAGCCCGCGGCCCAACCGCGGGACUGCAUUGGGAACUACCGGGCUGGAGUGCCGGAGAGGUAGGCGGAAUUCCUAGUGUAGCGGUGAAAUGCGUAGAUAUUAGGAGGAACACCAGUGGCGAAGGCGGCCUACUGGACGGUGACUGACGCUGAGGCUCGAAAGCGUGGGGAGCAAACAGGAUUAGAUACCCGAGUAGUC